UACGUAGGGGGCAAGCGUUGUCCGGAUUUAUUGGGCGUAAAGAGCGUGUAGGCGGCCAGGUAGGUCUGCUGUGAAAACUCGAGGCUUAACCUCGAGCUGUCGGCGGAAACCAUCUGGCUAGAGUCCGGAAGAGGAGAAUGGAAUUCCCGGUGUAGCGGUGAAAUGCGCAGAUAUCGGGAAGAACACCCGUGGCGAAGGCGGUUCUCUGGGACGGUACUGACGCUCAGACGCGAAAGCGUGGGGAGCGAACAGG
rnacentral:rRNA from 1 species